CAUGCAAGUCGAGCGAGAACCGUCCUUCGGGACGGGGAAAGCGGCGAAAGGGACAGUAAUAUGUAGAUUACGUGCCCAGGGGACCGGGAUAGCUGCGGGAAACUGCAGGUAAUACCGGAUAACAUCUUCGGAUCAAAGGUGUGAUUCCGCCCUUGGAUCGGUCUGCAUCCUAUUAGCUUGUUGGUGAGGUAACGGCUCACCAAGGCGAUGAUGGGUAGCGGGUGUGAGAGCACGACCCGCGUCACUGGGACUGAGACACUGCCCAGACACCUACGGGUGGCUGCAGUCGAGAAUCUUCGUCAAUGGGCGAAAGCCUGAACGAGCGACGCCGCGUGCGGGAUGAAGGCCCUUGGGUUGUAAACCGCUGUCGAGGGGGAUGAAGGCCAACAGGUACUCCUGUUGGUUUGACAGAGCCCAGAAGGAAGCACGGGCUAAGUUCGUGCCAGCAGCCGCGGUAAUACGAACUGUGCGAACGUUAUUCGGAAUCACUGGGCUUACAGGGUGCGUAGGCGGCCUAACAAGUCAGGUGUGAAAGCCCUCGGCUCAACCGAGGAACUGCGCUUGAAACUGUGGGGGCUCGAGUCAGCUAGAGGUGCACGGAACUUCCAGUGGAGCGGUGAAAUGUGUUGAUAUUGGAAGGAACACCGGAGGCGAAAGCGGUGCACUGGGGCUGGUCUGACGCUGA
rnacentral:rRNA from 1 species